AACUACUUGUCCCAACGGAAUGCUUGGAAUGUAGUGUGUGCAUGAAUGCGUGGGAGAUAUCUAAACCACAACAUUGCACACUAAGCAUAAAUUUUUAUUAUAAUUGUGAGUAUUAAUGUACAGUUGCAGUAUAAAUUUUAUGUCUACUUGCUGUUUGGAUAUAAGUUGUCUAUCAGUACUUCUCCAAUGAAGCAAUUCUAAAGUUGCUAUAACCUGGAUGGCUACAAGGCCACUGCAAAAAUAACAGACAGAAGUAGCAGAGAUGCAGAGAUAUAUUUGUCUCUCUGCCAACUGGUUUAUGGAAAGUCCCUUUGCUUUGCCCUAUUGCCAGCAACAUUUGAGUUUCUAUUUUACAGCGGUAUCAUUGCCACAGACAGGACAAGAACUAGGUACAUCCAGGUGACAGCUAGCUCCAGACUUGGACAUAGUUUUGCAGCAGUUGACCUGUGAUUGAAAUGAAGUUUGUAUACCGUCUGCUCCAUAAUCAACUAUGCCACCCACAGUCACUGCAGGGUCGACCCCUGGGGCAGCCAGACGAGACCCUAUAAUUUGAUUUUGUUUUUCAGCUUCUAUUCUGUCUUGGAGUAGAGGGAGUGCAAUCACAGACAGUAACAACACUCCAAUCGAGCCAGUAAAGAUUGUCAAUACCACUUCAAAAGAUAGAAGUGACCCAACUAUACUUCAUCCAACUUCUGUUCUAGGAAGGACAACCCAGUGCUGUUGCAUUCUCGCCCUGUCAAGAGGGCAGCUGGUUCAAUCUGUGAGGGAGAGAGACCUGCCAAGAAACCUAAAGAUCACUCCACUCCCUCGCUAGACAGAUUCCUCACUCGUCAAGAACAUCCGGUGGUUGCUAGGAGCAGUCAAAAUAUCCCCUCCCUAGACGCAAGAUUUGAGGUGGAGAAGAUUGCCAGACGAAACAAGCUACUAUGGGAACGGUAUCAUAAUGAUAAUCUCAAAUGCUCCUGAUAUGUUUUUGUACACUGACAAAGAGUCACUUUUGUCUAUAGUUUGUCGGAAACGUCGGAAGUAACAAGAGCUCAAGAUGAACAGUGCCUUAAUAGAACAUUAUUAAAAGACACUAGCUCUGUGGACUCUCAAGAUUGUUUUCAGGUUAUUUGCAAUAUUGAUGAAUGAGCUUUUUCUUAAUUUGUACAUUGAGCAGCUUAAAAUACACGCAUGUAUACAAUUACAUGCAUGUAAGUACAUGUACAUGCAUGUAGUAUAUGAGCCCAUAUUUGCUAAUGAGAUUGGUAUGCUAAUUCUCUAGAGCAUAUAGCUGACAAUAAGUAUGUGGUAAGUAAUGAGACCACUUCCUGCAUGGUACACGCCUGAAGCUACUAGUCUAUCAUCUGGUGAGGCUGCUAUGGUGAUGGGGGGACUCAUCACCUGUAUCAAACGACGUAAACAGAAAGAGAUACAUAGUAACAGUGUGGAUGAAUACAAUCAUGGAUUCACAGAAAGAGAAUUAGACAAUCCAGCCUACGAAAACUUUCACGAUGAACUAUCAAAUUCUGUUACCUAGAACAACGAAAAUUGGAACAGAUCUAGGCCUACAUAUUAUUAUUUUUUCAACCCAUAUACGUUGUGAAAACUACCUUGUUUCUUAUUCAAAAAAAUGUGUGUAGAAUCUA